GAUGAAGAACGUAGCGAAAUGCGAUAAGUAAUGUGAAUUGCAGAAUUCAGUGAAUCAUCGAAUCUUUGAACGCACAUUGCGCCCGCCAGUAUUCUGGUGGGCAUGCCUGUUCGAGCGUCAUUACAACCCUCAGGCCCCGGGCCUGGCGUUGGGGAUCGGCGGAAGCCCCCUGCGGGCACAACGCCGUCCCCCAAAUACAGUGGCGGUCCCGCCGCAGCUUCCAUUGCGUAGUAGCUAACACCUCGCAACUGGAGAGCGGCGCGGCCACGCCGUAAAACACCCAACUUCUGAAUGUUGACCUCGAAUCAGGUAGGAAUACCCGCUGAACUUAAGCAUAUCAAUAAGCGGAGGA
rnacentral:misc_RNA from 1 species